ACGGGAGGCAGCAGUGGGGAAUAUUGGACAAUGGGGGAAACCCUGAUCCAGCGACGCCGCGUGAGUGAAGAAGUAUUUCGGUAUGUAAAGCUCUAUCAGCAGGGAAGAAAAUGACGGUACCUGACUAAGAAGCCCCGGCUAACUACGUGCCAGCAGCCGCGGUAAUACGUAGGGGGCAAGCGUUAUCCGGAUUUACUGGGUGUAAAGGGAGCGUAGACGGCAUUGCAAGUCUGAAGUGAAACUCCGGGGCUCAACCCCGGAACUGCUUUGGAAACUGCAGAGCUUGAGUACCGGAGGGGUAAGCGGAAUUCCUAGUGUAGCGGUGAAAUGCGUAGAUAUUAGGAGGAACACCAGUGGCGAAGGCGGCUUACUGGACGGUAACUGACAUUGAGGCUCGAAAGCGUGGGGAGCAAACAGGAUUAGAUACCCUGGUA
rnacentral:rRNA from 1 species